rnacentral:rRNA from 1 species
UACAGAGGGUGCAAGCGUUAAUCGGAAUCACUGGGCUUAAAGCGUUCGUAGGCGGGCUUGCAGGCGCGUUGUGAAAGCCCCCGGCUCAACCGGGGAACUGCUUCGCGAACCGCAAGUCUUGAGUCAAGUAGGGGCGGUCGGAACGAUAGGUGGAGCGGUGAAAUGCGUAGAUAUCUAUCGGAACGCCAAAGGUGAAGACAGGCCGCUGGGCUUGUACUGACGCUGAGGUGCGAGAGCGUGGGGAGCGAACCGG